UCCGUGCGCCAGGCCACUGAGUGGGCCGUUUUCAUUUUCCUGGGUCCGAUCCCGCGGGAAAAAGUCUGCACAAAACUGUGUUGGUGAAGAUGAUGACGACAAUGGCAGUUGGGGGAGAAAUUUGGCAAUUGUUUUGGCCUUUCUCGCGGCCUGUCUUCGCUCCUUUGCCUUUGCAGCAAUGGAAGAUGAUGAGUUCAAUGUUGUGCUUUGACGCCGAGUAGAAGAUUUGAAUCGCAAACGCCAUCUUGGCCUUUAUUUAUGGAAGAAACUGCUCUCCCCGAUUUGCUGGUUUCGCCGACUGGCAUCGAGAAGUAGACGAGCUGCGCUUUCCAAGAGCCGCGGACACCAAGUUCUCAUGGCGGAUCUUAGUAGAUCGUGCUCCAACGCGUCUUGGCAUUGUGUGAGAACAGCACGAAGAGGACCUUGGGUAUUAACGCGUCUUGGUAUUGUGUGAAAACAGCACGAAGAGGAUCUUGGGUAUUGCAGCCUUUCCGCAGAAGGAGAAUGACUCGCUUCUUUGUGCUAGUGUGCAAACAUCCAUGUGUUCUCCCAGUACUGCUGUUAGCUCAGCCAGAGGAUUAUCGCAGAUCUCAAUGUGACAAGCGAUCAGCUGUAAUAGCUUUGUUGUGAAUGCUUGCACUGCUGUCAACUAUUAUCCAUUCUAGCUGUGCCUCGUAGCACUUCUUGCAGAAGAUAUCAUUCUCUGCUAUUGUCAUGUUCUUACUCCUUGGAACUGCUGAGACCGUUUCAUAGUGGGGACACUUCAUCUCUUCCUGUUUGUCCAUAACUGUCUUACAUGUGCUGCAAUGCCGCCUAUAUUGGCUCGGCGUGCACUUUUGAGCUCGUCCGCUGCGUUCCGCUUCAUACACUUCUGUAGUAACGCAAUGAAGAUUCUCAUUGACACUCCUUUACACGGCCAGCGUAUGUGGAUAUUAGUCUGUAGGUGGCUGCAAUUUGGGUUUUUGUCUUUCGCCGUUCACUAUUUUACCAAAAUAUUCCAAUAUUCUGCA